rnacentral:tRNA from 3 species
GGGCGUAUAGCUCAGUUGGUUAGAGCGCUCGCUUCACACGCGAGAGGUCCUCAGUUCGAGUCUGAGUAUGCCCA